rnacentral:rRNA from 1 species
UACGGAAGGGGCUAGCGUUGUUCGGAAUUACUGGGCGUAAAGCGCGCGUAGGCGGCCUGGUCAGUGAGACGUGAAAGUCCUGGGCUCAACCCGGGGACGGCGUUUCAUACUGCCCGGCUAGAGUCCGGAAGAGGGUGGUGGAAUUCCCAGUGUAGAGGUGAAAUUCGUAGAUAUUGGGAGGAACACCGGUGGCGAAGGCGGCCACCUGGUCCGGUACUGACGCUCAAGUGCGAAAGCGUGGGGAGCAAACAGG